AAUUAACUAACAUACACAUAAACCUAUAUUUUUAUACACACAAGCACACGCACAAAUAUUGUAUAUAAUAUUUAAGUUAUUUUUAUUCUUCAUAUAAUAUUAUUUUAUUUUAUUUUAUGCAAUUAAGUGCAGCGCGAUUAAGACGGUGACUUUGAUUUAAAUUGCUCAAGUUAAUUCUCAAAGCUCAAAUUUCAGUUUGUGACACCAGCAGAUGUCAGACUCGCAUUCAUUCCAGGAUGCCACAUGGAGGUUACCAAGACGUUUUCAGGUCCAACUGAUCUCGUUUGCAGAUUGUGAUACCAGCAGAUGUUGGAAUCGCAUUCAUUCUAGGAUGCCAUAUGAAGGAAAUUGUUGCUGUGGGAGUCACGCAUUUCCUCAAUGGCUACAAAGGCUUGACUGUUGCUGGGAGUAUUAGUUGAGCUGGCUGUGCUGAUUCCAUCGUUGUCUGAGUCUGUGUCAUUUUCAAUAUCAUGAUUCAUGGCCAUGCAGUCAAUAUAUUUUCAUUCCAUCUUGGCCUUUAUAAAUUUUCUUUCUUUGUGGUUGAGCUCUGGGCAGUCGACCUCGAAGUGCACCGUUUUGCCAUAGUUGUAGCACUUUUCGUCUUUAUGCUUGUUUUAUGAUGUGCUUAGCUUGUCUUCAUUGUUAUCCUUGAUUUUUCUGUCGGUGUGAUUCUUGUAUAUCGAUUAUCUCAAUAGUAUCUCUUAUACUUGUUCAA